rnacentral:rRNA from 1 species
AUGCAGCGCCUCUCCAUCGGAUCGCCGGGCUCGAGGCCCAGCCUGGAUGCCGCCCCCGCCGCGGCCGCAGACGAGGCGGACGAGAAGGCGACGGGGAAGGCGGCCAGGGCGGCCGCGCCGGACAAGUCCAUCCACCUCGUCCCCCUCCUCACGCUCCUCUGCCUCCUCGUCCUCUUCCUCUUCUCCCACGACCCGGCCAGUUCCCGCGCCAUCGCCGAUUCGCCGCCCGUCCUGGCCGUCACCGCCCGCUCCCUCGAGGCCACAGGUAGGCGAUAA